AUUUGAGGCAUUCUGCCUGAAUCCGUUUGUGCUGAAGAUAGCGUACACACAUUUCAAGCAGGAUCAUGGUCCCCUUCAAGCCAGCACGCACGAGCAAUACCGGUACACUGCAUACAGGCAGGCUAUACGCUGGGCUCAUGGAGUUCUUGGCCUGCAUAUAAGGAAGCCUCUAUGCUCCUGUCUGGUUUCAGCCAUCAGGCAACAAUUUCAGAGUGGUGACCAGACCUAUCAUGGCUUUCAAUGGCCUCGUUUGGAUGAAGAAUAAAAACCAUAUUGGCACGUA